rnacentral:rRNA from 1 species
ACGAGUUAUCUGAACCUUCGGGGAACGAUAACGGCGUCGAGCGGCGGACGGGUGAGUAAUGCCUAGGAAAUUGCCCUGAUGUGGGGGAUAACCAUUGGAAACGAUGGCUAAUACCGCAUAAUACCUACGGGUCAAAGAGGGGGACCUUCGGGCCUCUCGCGUCAGGAUAUGCCUAGGUGGGAUUAGCUAGUUGGUGAGGUAAUGGCUCACCAAGGCGACGAUCCCUAGCUGGUCUGAGAGGAUGAUCAGCCACACUGGAACUGAGACACGGUCCAGACUCCUACGGGAGGCAGCAGUGGGGAAUAUUGCACAAUGGGCGCAAGCCUGAUGCAGCCAUGCCGCGUGUGUGAAGAAGGCCUUCGGGUUGUAAAGCACUUUCAGUCGUGAGGAAGGUAGUGUAGUUAAUAGCUGCAUUAUUUGACGUUAGCGACAGAAGACGCACCGGCUAAAUCCGUGCCAGCAGCCGCGGUAAUACGGAGGGUGCGAGCGUUAAUCGGAAUUACUGGGCGUAAAGCGCAUGCAGGUGGUUUGUUAAGUCAGAUGUGAAAGCCCGGGGCUCAACCUCGGAAUAGCAUUUGAAACUGGCAGACUAGAGUACUGUAGAGGGGGGUAGAAUUUCAGGUGUAGCGGUGAAAUGCGUAGAGAUCUGAAGGAAUACCGGUGGGGAAGGCGGCCCCCUGGACAGAUACUGACGCUCAUAUGCGAAAGCGUGGGGAGCAUACAGGAUUAGAUACCCUGGUAGUCCACGCCGUAUACGAUGUCUACUUGGAGGUUGUGGCCCUGAGCCGUGGCUUUCGCAGAUGACGCGU